GGAUUCCCCUAGUAACUGCGAGUGAAGCGGGAAAAGCUCAAAUUUAAAAUCUGGCGGUCUUUGGCCGUCCGAGUUGUAGUCUGGAGAAGUGCUUUCCGCGCUGGACCGUGUAUAAGUCUCUUGGAACAGAGCGUCAUAGAGGGUGAGAAUCCCGUCUUUGACACGGACUACCAGUGCUUUGUGAUGCGCUCUCAAAGAGUCGAGUUGUUUGGGAAUGCAGCUCAAAAUGGGUGGUGAAUUCCAUCUAAAGCUAAAUAUUGGCGAGAGACCGAUAGCGAACAAGUACCGUGAGGGAAAGAUGAAAAGCACUUUGGAAAGAGAGUUAAACAGUACGUGAAAUUGCUGAAAGGGAAACGCUUGAAGUCAGUCGCGUCUGCCGGAACUCAGCCUUCCUUUUGGUUGGUGCACUUUCCGGUAGACGGGCCAGCAUCGAUUUCGACCGUCGGAAAAGGGCUGGGGAAAUGUGGCACCUUUCGGGGUGUGUUAUAGUCCUCAGUCGCAUACGUCGGUUGGGAUCGAGGAUCGCAGCGCGCCGCAAGGCAGGGGUUCGCCCACUUUCGCGCUUAGGAUGCUGGCAUAAUGGCUUUAAACGACCCGUCUUGAAACACGGACCAAGGAGUCUAACAAACCUGCGAGUGUUUGGGUGGAAAACCCGAGCGCGUAAUGAAAGUGAAAG
rnacentral:rRNA from 2 species